rnacentral:lncRNA from 1 species
CAGAUCUUAAUUUUUAAAGAUUCCUGUUUGUUGUUUUUUUCAUGUUGCCUUCAAAGGGCUACUUUCGGCCAAGUGCCAUGGGAGAUAUUUGGAGGUUGAAGGAUUUUCCUUUGCCUUUAAUGCUUUGAUCAGCAAAGCAAAGCCUCAAACAGAAAUCCAAGCCAGGCAGGAGGGUGGCAGAGCGGGAGAACGGGUUCUGGGGAGCGUCCCAUUCCUUGAACUUCCUUCAGUAAUCAAGGAGACCUUGUGUGGUGCCCCCUAAGUGCUGGGCGUUGAGCUGGAGCUAGGCUUACAGAGGGCAAUCAGCUGGACAUCGCGUGUCCCACCUGGAGCGUACAGCCGUGGGAGAGGCAGGCAGAGAUAAAGAAAAUGAGGCAAGUGAAGACAUGCUUGCAUGCUAUAACAAAGGUCACGGAGGAGAGGUGCCUGGCACAGUGACAGUGCAUAACUUGCGCAAUUAGCCCAAGGGAUCAGAGAAGCCUUCUGAGGGAGGCACAUUUCCCUGAGAUCUGAAGGUCUCUCCCCAGUCCCCCAGAGUAAGCUCCAGGCGAGGACCUUGCCUGUCUCCCUCUGGGCCGGUGCCGGACGUGGGAGCAGGUGCCCGAUGCACACUCCACUGGAUGAGAUGGAGGGUUUCUGCGUCGUCUUUCUCCCAGUAACGGAGGCGGCGGUGACAGACUGAGUUGGCUAUGAUGCGUUUACCAGAAGGUUAACUCCUUCACCCAGGAUCAAGUCACCUGGUCGCUUGUCCGGUUAUAACUGCAAGAGCCUCCAUGCUGACCUGCGGUUGGAGUGAUCGCUCCACUCCAGCUCCUCAAAAUGAAGAUAGUCAUCAUUUUUUCCUUCUUUCCUUCUUGGGGAUUUUUAUCUUCUUAAAUACAAUCCAUUUCCUUCCUUAUUCUUUCUCUCUUUCCCAAACAUACUGAAGUUUUAUUCUAAAAAUUGCUCUUGACCUUUAGCUAAUUAUAAUACUGUAAACCCCACUGUAAUACUAUUAAAUCGGGACCAAAAAUUC